AUGCUUGGGUGUGCCAGCAGCCGCGGUAAUACGUAUGGAGCAAGCGUUAUCCGGAUUUACUGGGUGUAAAGGGAGUGUAGGUGGCCAUGCAAGUCAGAAGUGAAAGCCCGGGGCUCAACCCCGGGACUGCUUUUGAAACUGCAGGGCUAGAGUGCAGGAGGGGCAAGUGGAAUUCCUAGUGUAGCGGUGAAAUGCGUAGAUAUUAGGAGGAACACCAGUGGCGAAGGCGGCUUGCUGGACUGUAACUGACACUGAGGCUCGAAAGCGUGGGGAGCAAACAGG
rnacentral:rRNA from 1 species